CGCGGGGUGGAGCAGUUUGGUAGCUCGUCGGGCUCAUAACCCGAAGGCCGUAGGUUCAAAUCCUGCCCCCGCAACCA
rnacentral:tRNA from 1 species